AAUGAACGCUGGCGGCAUGCCUAACACAUGCAAGUCGAACGAACACACCGGGAGCUUUUGCCCCUGCGGGUGGCGCGGGACGGAAGAGUAACACAUGGAUAGCAUACCUCUAUGACUGGGGUGAUAACGCGGGACAAGAUCUACUAACGCAGAAUAUAUCGAACCGGAAGGGGCAAGAGUUAAAGUAGCUUUUUGUGAUAGUAAUAGCCGACUCCGGGGCGGAUAAGCUGGUGGGUAAGGUGACGGCUUACCAAGGCUACGAACCGGAGCCGAUCUGAGAGGGUGAUCAGCCACACGGGAACUGAGACACGGUCCAGACUCCUACGGGAGGCAGCAGUAGGGAAUCUUCCGCAAUGGGCGAAAGCCUGACGGAGCAACACCGCGUGAGUGAUGAAGGUCUUCGGAUCGUAAAGCUCUGUUGUUAGGAAAGAACAAAAGUGUUUUUAACCAUGCCCGUCUUGACGGUACCUAAAGAAUAAGCCCCGGCUAACUACGUG
rnacentral:rRNA from 1 species